rnacentral:rRNA from 1 species
UACGUAGGGUGCAAGCGUUGUCCGGAAUUAUUGGGCGUAAAGAGCUCGUAGGUGGCCUGUCGCGUCGGCUGUGAAAACUCGGGGCUCAACUCCGAGCUUGCAGUCGAUACGGGCAGGCUAGAGUUCGGCAGGGGAGACUGGAAUUCCUGGUGUAGCGGUGAAAUGCGCAGAUAUCAGGAGGAACACCGGUGGCGAAGGCGGUUCUCUGGGCAUGACCUGACGCUGAGGAGCGAAAGUGUGGGAGGCGAACAGG